rnacentral:rRNA from 1 species
GACGAACCGUGCAAACGUUAAUCGGAAUUACCGGGCGUAAAGCGUGCGCAGGCGGCUUUGCAAGACAGAUGUGAAAUCCCCGGGCUUAACCUGGGAACUGCAUUUGUGACUGCAGGGCUGGAGUGCGGCAGAGGGGGAUGGAAUUCCGGCGUGUAGCAGUGAAAUGCGUAGAUAUGCGGAGGAACACCGAUGGCGAAGGCAGCCCCCUGGGCUAACACUGACGCUCAUGCACGAAAGCGUGGGGAGCAAACAGG